AUGGCUCAACUAUACAACUUCCUGUACAUAGUGAGAUACAUCCCACUGAUUCUCACUGUCACUACAGGCAGUUUCGCUGAUAAAAUUUGGCCGACAGAUGAAGAUGCCAUUGUCAGGAAAGAAACAGACACUGUUACUCUGAAAUGUUCAUAUGAGUCAAGCAAUGAUUACAUUUAUCUUUACUGGUACAAACAAUUUCUGAACAGCGCACCACAGUUUUUACUGUAUAAAGGCGCAAAGUCAAACUCAGGUGAUGAUAGCACUCCUGAUGAUCCUCGAUUAGAGUCAAAAACAACCAGAGACUCCACUGAAUUUACUAUCAGAGGUCUAAAGCUCUCAGAUUCUGCGCUCUAUCACUGUGCUCUUAGAGAGGAAGCACAUGGCGCUCGAUUCAAGGCAGAAACAUCCUCAGACUCGACUGAACUUACUAUUAAAGAUCUACAGAUCUCAGAUUCUGCACUCUAUCACUGCGCUCUUCAAGUAGCAGCACAGUAA